rnacentral:tRNA from 1 species
ACCGGUAUAGCUUAAUUAAAGCAUUGAUUUUGUAAUUCAAAGAUAGUAUUUACUUUCCGGUA